AUAUAUAUAUAUAUAUAUAUUUGAGUUUUUGAAUGCUCUAUGGCGCUUUGGACUGCAUUUUUUUCUUGGCUUUUCUGCCCUCGAUGACAAUGUCUGCUCUGCUGGCUUCUAUCAUUAUGGUCUUUUCUAAGUAAAUGCUAUUUGGCUUCUAUCAUUAUGGUCUUUUCUAAGUAAAUGCUAUUUGGCUUCUAUCAUUAUGGUCUUUUCUAAGUAAAUGCUAUU
rnacentral:misc_RNA from 1 species